CUCCGCCCCGCCGCCGCCCCUCGGAAAAUAAUAAACAAUCGAGUAAAAUGCGGCGCGGGGCGGGGGUCCGGGCGGGCUCCGCGCCCCCUCCCCGGAGUUGCCCCUCGCUCCGGGCCCUGCCUGCAGCCCUGCCGCCAGAAAAGCCUUUCCUCUAGGUGCUGCGGCGCUCGCACGGAAAUUGCCUCAGCCAGAAGCAGUGGCAGUGGGGACUGUUCUACUUGCAGGAAUGUUGGGACUAAUCAUGUGAGAAAAGAUCCUGGAGUGAUGAGGCAGCAUAUUUCCCAUGUCUGAGGUCAGGAUUUGUUCUGUGAAGCUGACCUUUAAAACAGCCUGAAAAUGAGGAACGUGACACCAGAGCAGAGCAGGAAGCAUGAAAUUAUGUAAGAUAUGUUUCUUCUGCAUAUGAAAUACUUUUUCUUUAAAGCUCCAGGUUUGUGAUUCAGCAUUUUCUGCCACUGAGAGAUACAAGAAAGGGGAAAAUUCUGUAGCAAAGAAAGAAAGUCCCUAUUGUUCUAAUCAAAACCUAAUAAAAUAUUAGCCACCAGGUACUUUUGUUCCCUU
rnacentral:lncRNA from 1 species